UCAUGUAACUUCUAUACAGAGAACUAGAGCCUUGGGGAAUCUUAGAAAAUUAUAUCUGGGAUGAGGGUGGAGGAAGGCUAAAGGUGGUCUAAUAAAGUGUUCUCAUUUUGUAGAUGAGAAAACUGAUGCCUGAAGAAGGUACAACAUGCUCAAGUUCAUACAGCAUUUAGUGGUGGAGAUGCGACCCAACCCAGGUCUCGUGACAAAAGCCCAGCUAGCCUAACACUCUCUCCUUGACUCACCUCCUUGAACCUGGAAGGGUCCACAAAGAAGUCCUGCCCUUCCCUUCAGGAGGAACUAAAAUAAGAUGAAAACCUUAGGCAGUUACCUUUGAAUACGAAAAUUAGGUCCUUGUCAAAAUCCUCAUAAGCAGCCUGUAUACCAUUUACCAGGGAUGGCCAGAAGAGAGAAAUGAAAUUGAGUUCGACUCUUCGUAGGUGAGGAUGCUUUCUCCAGAAGUACCUAAUGGAACACAAGGGAGAAAACCACACACAAUAGUCUAAGCAGGCAGCUUCUGUGAGUCUUGGGCUGGUAUUGAUCCUAUAAGAUUGCUGGGAGGAUAUAACAUACAGUGAAGGCAAUGCUUCCAGCACAGUGACCAGCAUAUGGCCAGCACUUCACGGUGAUACUGUCCAUCUGGAAGCACAAUGUUUUAAAGACUCAUCUAUGUACAUCUGAUUCAGUGCUUCUCAGUGCUGUACAUUACUCUAUGGCAGGCAUUCACCAUAUUUUACGCAUAUAUUCUCCUCCCGAUGGACUCCCAGGUGCCCUCUAACUUCGAUCACCAAGGCCAAGACUGCAAUGAACGUCCCUGACAUGGCCAGGUCUCACCAGGUACCUGAAGAAAUGGAGAUUGGAAGAAAUCAAGGUAGGGGCUAUAGGUUAAGAUUAGGUGAGUAUGAGGUCCUCACCAAAUCUUAGAACCAAGAAAGACUGCUGCUUUUAUUCCAAUUCCCAUAUUUCAUGGGCCUGGGGCUCAGGCAAAUGAUGGCAGG